GGCUAGUCCGAAGAUAGUUACCUCGAUUCAUUUUUCACAAUUACAGAUCAAGCUCCUUGUUCUGCUCUUCUUCUCCUUCUCACUACUGUACUUGACUAGUCUUUA
ensembl:misc_RNA Y_RNA Y RNA